rnacentral:rRNA from 1 species
AUUGCAGGCUGCAACUCGCCUGCAUGAAGUUGGAAUUGCUAGUAAUCGCGAAUCAGAAUGUCGCGGUGAAUACGUUCCCGGGCCUUGUACACACCGCCCGUCACACCAUGAGAGUCGAUAACACCCGAAGCCUGUGAGCUAACCGUAAGGGGGCAGCAGUCGAAGGUGGGGUUGAUGAUUGGGGUGAAGUCGUAACAAGGUAAC